rnacentral:rRNA from 1 species
GACGAACGCUGGCGGCGUGCCUAAUACAUGCAAGUCGAGCGAAUCAAUGGGAGCUUGCUCCCUGAGAUUAGCGGCGGACGGGUGAGUAACACGUGGGUAACCUGCCGGUAAGACUGGGAUAACUUCGGGAAACCGGAGCUAAUACCGGAUAGUUUAUUUUCUCGCAUGAGAGAAGAUGGAAAGAUGGUUUCGGAUAUCACUCACAGAUGGACCAGCGGCGCAUUAGCUAGUUGGUGAGGUAAUGGCUAACCAAGGCGACGAUGCGUAGCCGACCUGAGAGGGUGAUCGGCCACACUGGGACUGAGACACGGCCCAGACUCCUACGGGAGGCAGCAGUAGGUAAUCUUCCGCAAUGGACGAAAGUCUGACGGAGCAACGCCGCGUGAGCGAAGAAGGCCUUCGGGUCGUAAAGCUCUGUUGUUAGGGAAGAACAAGUACGAGAGUAACUGCUCGUACCUUGACGGUACCUAACCAGAAAGCCACGGCUAACUACGUGCCAGCAGCCGCCGUAAUAC